GGGAGAGUCGAGCAAUGCAAAAGCCUUAACCUCGGGAUUCGUGAGGCGUUCUGAAAACCCUCUUCCUUAAACCCCUCCAACGCACGAACAGAGAGCGUAUUACCCUGCGGAAAGUGGCCUCACAAAACCCAUCCGUUGGCUUUGCUUUGACUCUUUCUCUCUCUCUCUCUCUCGCCCUCGUCCUCCUCUCAGUACUCCCUCUGCACUCUGCAGACUGCGCAGAGGGGGAGAGAGAGAGAGAGAGAGAGAGAGAGAGACUGAGAGACUCUCGUCGUCUUCUAAGUACUCCCUCUGCACUGUGCAGCCUGCGCGCAGGGAGAGAGAGAGAGAGAGAGAGCGUGUGGGUCUCUCCUUGUGGGUCAAAGUGAAAAAGAUCAGUGUGAAAUCUCUGUCGUUCCGGGGGAAUAAACCUAGGGCUCAUACAUGUCUCCUGGAACUCCAUUUAUUAAACCUCGCGGCCAUGGCCUCUGUUCGUUUCCAUGCAAGAUGAUGACUUUCUGGGAGAAUCCCUUCUCUUCUCCGAGGUUCCGAGAUGGCAGUAGCCUCUGCUUUCGAGUGGUUCAACCGGCGUAUGUGACCAUAUUUCUCAUCCUCUAUAGUGCUCCUGGAGUAUGUUCUAGAUAAGUAUGUAGUGUAGGUAGUAGGGAAUGAAGCCGUUGGUCCGCUGAGCAUUUUAUUCACCCUAUCAUGUUGACAAUUCCUCCGAGGGAUUCACAACCCUUGAGAUAGGUCUGAAUGUGUGUGCUGAAUUGAAAUGCCGAGAGCUUUGUGGGGUUAUCAUUUUUGUGUGACUCUAUCAGUUAUACUCGACAGUUUUGUAUAGGUUUCGAUUUUGAAUGAUGCAUUACUCUCCUUUGCUA